rnacentral:tRNA from 1 species
GAGCCGUUAGCUCAGUCGGUAGAGCACCGGACUUUUAAUCCGGUUGUCGUUGGUUCGAACCCAACACGGCUCACCA